CCUACGGGAGGCAGCAGUGGGGAAUUUUGCGCAAUGGGGGCAACCCUGACGCAGCAACGCCGCGUGAGUGAUGAAGGCCUUCGGGUCGUAAAGCUCUGUCAGAGGGGAAGAAAUGCAGGUGGUGAACAACCAUUCUGUUUGACGGUACCCUCAAAGGAAGCACCGGCUAACUCCGUGCCAGCAGCCGCGGUAAUACGGAGGGUGCGAGCGUUGUCCGGAAUUACUGGGCGUAAAGAGCGCGUGGGCGGGGAGGAAAGUUCUGUGUAAAACCCCUGAGCUCAACUGGGGGGAGCCGCAGAAGACUUCCCCCCUUGAGGGAAGCAGAGGAAAGCGAAACUUGCGUUGGAGCGGUGAAAUGCGUAGAGAUCGCAAGGAACGCCCGUGGCGAGGGCGGCUUUCUGGACUUCUCCUGACGCUGAGGCGCGAAAGCUAGGGUAGCGAACGGGAUUAGAUCCCCCUGUAGU
rnacentral:rRNA from 1 species